CCAGAUUGACUCAACAAGCAAGACUUCGUGUCUUCCAUUAUUUUAUGUUAAUUACGGUCUGCUGUUAUUUUUACUACAGGACUCACGGUACUGAUAAGAUCCAGUGUUUUCCCAGUCCGGAUUGGAAUGCUUAAAUCUAGAAGAUUCCAGGGGGAGAAAACUCGGCCGAAAAUACUAGCCGUCGAGAGCAUCCACUACCGCUGACUUGCUCUGAAGGUGAAGAAGCUUCUGGAGGGAGCUCUGUGUCUCUUCACCCCGAGCCGCCUCUGACUCACAAACUGCUCCACUUUGCACCCUGUCCUGGUUGCCGCACAGAAACAAUUCUCACAGAGGCUGCCAGCAAGUUCCACGGGCUGCACUUCAGUGCCCCUUCCCCAGCGACACGCCCGCAACAUCUGGCUCCUCCGUCCCGCAGCCGCCCCACGCGCAUCGCCUUCCAUCCGCAGGUGUUCAAUCUGGAGUUCCCGCCUCAUCACGCCCGGGGCCCCCUCCGCUCCCUCCUCCACCUCUGCCCCAAACCGACCCUGCGUGGGAUCAGUGUCAAGUGUGCCCUCCGUCCGGCGCCAGGUGCCACACAGCGACUUCCACGUGACCGACACUGAGCCCCAGAUCCUGCCCUCCCAGCAGCGACCAGCUCCACCCCCAGCCCCGUGAGCAUCCCCAGUGCCCCAGUCACCCAGGCGGGGGCCCUCAUCCUCGCACCCAAACCACCAGCAGGUCCAAGCAUUUUUCCACUAACUUCCUUUCAAUGCCCCAACCCCAGGCCUCUGCCAGUGGCCGAUGUCUCAUCCUCGGCACUCCUCAUGUUGCCAACACGAGCAGUAACCCUGGGCUCUUAACGUGCUCUGCAGCCAGAGCUCUUGGAAUGCGGCUGUAGUCACGUACCCCCCAAGCUGGGCCCUGCCCCCUCCAGGGCAUCUCACCCCCUCCCGACAAUGCCCCUGCCCCCCGCCCCCGCACUGAGCAACAGCUGGAGCCCUGAGCCCAUCCAAUGAGACGCUACCACCCAGGACCCACCCUGCCCUUCCCGUCACACUGGCCCUGCCAAUUUGGGCUCCAGGCGUGCAGCUCUGCUUCCUUCUAGGCCUUAUUGAGGGUUUAUUGAUUUUAUGUAGUGACAGCAUGGAGUUUCUCCCUCACACUGAAAGCAACAGCCCUAACGGCCUGAAUCCAGACUGGGACUUGAACCCACAGUUUCAAAUUCGAGUCACUCACCCGUGUCUGGACUCACUGAGGUUCAGGGUCUUCAUGUCUCCACACAGGAGGGAUUCGGCGAGAGACACAGUGACAGGCAAGACACAGACCUGAGAGGACAGGACGCUUGUGAGAUGCAAGCAGGCAGGCGAGGAAGCUCUGCCCCGAGGAUCCGAGGAUCCGGGUGGGCCACAGUUUUACCCUCCAAGGGGCGUGGGGGUGGGAAAAGCCCGCCUCUGCCCUUCCGGGAGCCCCAGCUCCCCCUUCGUAUCCGCGGCAGGGCGGUCCUCAGACUCCCGCCCUGGGGCUGAACCUGGACGCAGGCCUCCCCCCACCCCCACCCAGCGACCUCCACUCGUGCAGCAAGCCUGCCCGUCCCCAGGGCUUUCUGAACGCGCAGUGGUCUCC
rnacentral:lncRNA from 1 species